rnacentral:rRNA from 1 species
UACGUAGGGGGCAAGCGUUGUCCGGAUUUAUUGGGCGUAAAGAGCGUGUAGGCGGCAAGGUAGGUCUGCUGUGAAAACUCGAGGCUUAACCUCGAGCUGUCGGCGGAAACCAUCUGGCUAGAGUCCGGAAGAGGAGAAUGGAAUUCCCGGUGUAGCGGUGAAAUGCGCAGAUAUCGGGAAGAACACCCGUGGCGAAGGCGGUUCUCUGGGACGGUACUGACGCUGAGACGCGAAAGCGUGGGGAGCGAACAGG